GUGCUUGCUUCAGCAGCACAUAUACUAAAAACUGGAAUGAUACAGAGAAGAUUAGCACGGCCCCUGCCCAAGGUGGACAUACAAAUUCCAGAAGUGUUCCAUAUUUUU